rnacentral:tRNA from 1 species
GGGGAUCUGGCUCAGUCGGUAGAGUGCUUGCCUCGCAUGCAUGCAAAAGGGCCCUGGGUUCAAUCCCCAGCACCAUCA